AAUUAUUAAGUUCUUAAUUUGAAAAUAAAAUUCAUUUUGUAAAAUGUCAUUUCCAAUAAUCUAAAUAAAAUGCACUUAAAUGCUAUUCCAAACCUCAUCAACUUUACAUUUUAUAGCAAAACAUUAAAAAAAAAUUUACAAAAACAAAAAGGGGGAGAUGAGAGUAUGGAUAAAAUCACUCCUGUGGUCCAUCUCUCCCAUGUUUUGUUUACGUUGAAUUAUUUAAAUUUUUAUGAAAAACUUAAUGGCACUCCUGCAGAAAGACAUUUCUUCAGCCCUCCUACUACAUCCAAAUCUGUUUUUACUGAAAGUCCUCCUGUGUAGUGAAAGGACCCUGUGACAGGGCAGUGGACAAUAGGAAAAUUGUUAACAUGGGGGCGAGGUUUUGCUUGUGUCUCUCCAGGUGAAGAUCAAACUCCUAUUUAGGUGCCUGCAUGACACUUGAAACCGUACCAUAAGUGGGAAAAAGAGAAAGUUCCUGUGGGACAUAGAACCUCCGGUGAUGCAGAUAGAGAGCCUCUACCUGAAAACAACUCGCAUUGGACCGACACCGGCCACCACUAAAGUUUUUCCUCCUACAUAGGGACAAAUUAAAAAUUUGUGCCAACAGGCUGAACGGCUGGUAUGGCAAAAGCACUGGCCGUUCACCCCCUCUAAUCUGGUGAUAGCUUUAUUUGCUAUUAUAACUACUACUGUAAGUAUGCUUCCUUUAGAUGCCCACGCUCAUAAUUAUACUUACUGGGCAUAUGUCCCCAAUCCUCCUCUAUUAUGGCCUGUGGAAUGGAAUGAUCCAACCCCUCUUAUUUAUCUCAGUGAAACAGCAUGGCUUCCUGGCCUGGAGGAUGACAGGCUACCAGAACAUCCUAAAGAGGAAGGCACUCAGUAUAAUUCAACUUCGGCCUUCUUAUUAUUUGCCACUAUAUUUGGGACACGGGAAAGAAUGUUUAUCUUUUGAGCAACAAGCAUGGCUUUCAGUAAUUCCAAAGCACGGAAAUGUCUCUUAUUCUAUGUUAUAUUUGUUGACAGGUCAGAGGUUUGCAUACCAACAUAAUAGUAGUAUGAAUGAUGGAACCCCACAGCGUCCUGUCCGCCAAGCGCCAAAGUAUUGGUCUCCGGACUUAAUGAGAGUACACUGGGAAACUUGUCGAGGGACUAAUGAGUCCUCCGAUGCACGAGACAAGCAGUCUCCAAUUUAACUGAGAAGUCUACAAUUCCUGCCAUCAUAUCUAAAAUAAAAAAAAGGUGGGGGGGGGGACAUGUGGAAAACAGAGCCUGAAAUUUCUCCUCUCCUUCCCGCAUUCUUGAGGUGGGGGCCUGGAACACAGGGCCCCUGCUGAAGAUAGAACACUAUCAAGGCAUGCCUCAUUAAAGUAUCGUGGACAUGAGAAUGCAGCUGGGGAACUGUUUUUCUGUUAUUGUCCUUGAGAAUAAGAUAAGACCUAUUUUGCAGAUAUGAAGUAAACCACCUUGAGAAAAUGUCUACAUGCACUUUAAAGCAUUUCUCUAUCCUAAAAGCAUAAUAAAUGAGAGUCUUGGGAACAGGACAGACACACUCGCCAGCAGGCGGUGUGUCCCCUGCUCCCAGUCUCCAAGAGAUA